AGAAGAUCCUGCAAGUCUUUUUACUUUUCUCCUCAUAUUACAACCACUAAUAAAACCAAAAUGUUUGAAUGGAUAUAUACUCCAUAUUUUACCUUCUUGUCAACUGACGUUGAGCAAGCUAUGACUUGGUUGUGCUACUGGAUGUUUAAUGAUCUUAAAGAUGAAAAUGAUGAAGUGGAUAUGAGUUGGAGAUUCAAGGAUGAGAUGGACGAAGGGGAUGAGGUGGAAUUUUCAAUUGAUGUGGGUUUAGGAAUUAAUGUUAAGAAGUGUGGCAUCCACCUGCUUUACCAGCCUGCUGACCUGGGCUCACAACCUGAUGAUCUGGCAAUGAUUUCUCAUGCCUCAUCCAGACACCAUAGAAGGUUCUUGCAUUCUCGUCCUCGAUUGUUAACAAUUGGAGGCAUCCAAGAAGAAACAUCAUCAGAACUGGGUGUAGCUCCUACUCAAAAUGAGGAAUUUGCACAGUGGUCAAAGCAGAGGAAGCAGAGGGUACAAAUGGACCAGACGGUUGCUAUGAAUACAACGACGUAAUUUAUGAAAGCAGCUAAGUUUGGAAGCUGUUUUAUCCAGCUAUUAAAAAGAAAAAACCUGAAGCCUUUGUACUUGCAACUUUCUCCAAAAUUUGAAGAUACGCAAAUGUCAUUUCACAAGGAAUGAAAAGGGUGGUCAAAGCAGAGGGCAAAGAGCAAAAGAAAUGGCGACUUUUAGUACAACUAUAAACAGAAAUGGCCAAGA
rnacentral:misc_RNA from 1 species